CUGGUCUAAAUGCCAAGGGAUCAAAAAGGCCUGAGGCAAGGCCAGAAAUCUCCAGGCAGCCGGCCUUACCAUCCCGUCCUGAAUUCUUGGGGAAGUGGAAGAGUAUGUAAAACAUCCGUUUGACCGAUGAUUGGGAGACGCCUGGGUUCCCUGACAAACGCCCUUCCCUGCAGCCGAGGAGCUCUCUGUACAUUCAGUGGAAUCUUUGCCCGGAAAUAUGGCGUGAGCAGAGGACCAUUAGCGUGGGCGCCAGGAGCUCCACCCGUUUGUCCUGCUUCUCAGCUGAUGUGAUGCAAAUGCUACUACCAUCACCAGUUGCUACGCCUGUGGAGCCCUCCGCAUGGGACGGAUCCUGUUCACAACACUUAUGACCAUCUUCACCUCACCCUGAGGCAACCCUACAUCUCCUGAGCUCCUCUGGAAGUAGGUCCUGGAGGCAGAAAUGGAAAAACAACCACUUUUUUUCUGGCAAAUCCCUGUCCACACCAUUGGCAACUUCAUGAGCUUCCUGGAGCUACAAAAUUGAUCACCAACUGGGUGACUUAGAACAACACACAUGAUUCUUUCAGAUCUGGACGCCAGAAGCCUGACAUCACAAUGUCCCCAGGUCCAUGGCGCUAGGGAAGAAUCCUUCCUACCUUUGGACCUCAUGUUAACUAAUUACAUCUACAAAACCCCCAGUUUCAAAUAAGGUCAUGUUCUGAGGUUCCAGAGGGACAUAAAUUUGGGGGGAUAAUUUUCAACACACCACAGCAACCCAUUCCUUGCCUG